rnacentral:rRNA from 1 species
GACGAACGCUGGCGGCGUGCCUAAUACAUGCAAGUCGAGCGGACUUUAGAAAAGCUUGCUUUUCUAAAGUUAGCGGCGGACGGGUGAGUAACACGUGGGCAACCUGCCCUAUAGUUGGGGAUAACUCCGGGAAACCGGGGCUAAUACCGAAUAAUACAUUCCUUCUCCUGUUGGAAUGUUGAAAGAUGGUUUACGCUAUCGCUAUAGGAUGGGCCCGCGGCGCAUUAGCUAGUUGGUGAGGUAACGGCUCACCAAGGCGACGAUGCGUAGCCGACCUGAGAGGGUGAUCGGCCACACUGGGACUGAGACACGGCCCAGACUCCUACGGGAGGCAGCAGUAGGGAAUCUUCCACAAUGGGCGAAAGCCUGAUGGAGCAACGCCGCGUGAGUGAAGAAGGUUUUCGGAUCGUAAAACUCUGUUGUAAGGGAAGAACAAGUACAGUAGUAACUGGCUGUACCUUG